CUUUUAUGAGUGCAAUGCUUUCCUCUUUAUCUUUCUCAUACAUGUAAACUUUACAAAUGUUGUAAGCCAUUCAAUCAUUUUUUUUUUUUAAACUAAAGCAAUUUUUUUUAAUAUGGUCAGACGCUAACUGUUGUUUCAUGAAUGCGUUUUCUUAAAUUGCACCCUGAACAUCGAUUAAACCUUAAUGACCACUUGUGUAACACAUUAUCUUCUUCAACUAAGCCCGUAGAUUUUUUUUUUUAACGUUAUUUUCAAAAAAAAGAAAACUGGACAAAUCAUUUAUGGUCUAGUAAAAAUCAAGAAAGAAAGAAAAUUAUAUCCCAACAAUACCUUUUCUUUGAUGAGCAUUUUGUGAACCGUUCCAACCAACAUUUUUUUUAAAGGAAACAACACUUUUCAACAUAAACGCGGUGGCGUUCUAUUAUUGUCUAUAUUCAUUUGUCUUUUCAAACUUCUUGUAUUACCUUUCAUUUAUAUUCUGACAUCUUCUUACAGCCACAAACCC